CCCAUAAAAAUAAACUCGGGCGGUAGAGACACAAACUGAUUGUUGUAGCAGUAUUCGUGAGGGUGGGAUGAAACAUUUUCGUCUUGGGCGAUCUGUUUCGGCUUUCCNGGUGUUUCAGAAACAACAAAAAAAAUGGGUAUUAUUGAGUGUAGAUCUGGNUGGUCCAAAAUUUGCUUCGUUGGUGGUCUGCGAAACUGCAAACGUGUUAGAUAGCCGGGUGGUUCGCUGCUAUUCGAAUCAGCGUGUGCGGUCUCACAACGUGUGGUCUCAAU
rnacentral:misc_RNA from 1 species